AUGGACUUAGGGCACAUAUUGGUUUUAUUUGUCCUUAUUUUAAAAGGUGUCCAGUGUGAGGUGCAAUUGCUGGAGUCUGGAGGAGCCUUAGUUCAGCCUGAAAAGUCCCUGAAACUCUCCUGUGCAGCCUCUGGAUUCACUUUCAGUAGAUACUGGAUGAGCUGGGUCCACCAGGCUUCAGGAAAGGGGCUGGAGUGGGUCGCAUAUAUUAAUACUGGUGGUGGUAGCACCUCCUAUGUGGACUCUGUGAAGGGUCGGUUCACAAUCUCCAGAGACAACGCCAAGAACACCUGUACCUGGAAAUGA